rnacentral:rRNA from 1 species
GCAAGGUUAACCGAAUAGGGGAGCCGGAGGGAAACCGAGUCUUAAUUGGGCGUUAAGUUGCAGGGUAUAGACCCGAAACCCGGUGAUCUAGCCAUGGGCAGGUUGAAGGUUGGGUAACACUAACUGGAGGACCGAACCGACUAAUGUUGAAAAAUUAGCGGAUGACCUGUGGCUGGGGGUGAAAGGCCAAUCAAACCGGGAGAUAGCUGGUUCUCCCCGAAAGCUAUUUAGGUAGCGCCUCGUGAAUUCAUCUCCGGGGGUAGAGCACUGUUUCGGCUAGGGGGCCAUCCCGGCUUACCAACCCGAUGCAAACUGCGAAUACCGGAGAAUGUUAUCACGGGAGACACACGGCGGGUGCUAACGUCCGUCGUGAAGAGGGAAACAACCCAGACCGCCAGCUAAGGUCCCAAAGUCAUGGUUAAGUGGGAAACGAUGUGGGAAGGCCCAGACAGCCAGGAUGUUGGCUUAGAAGCAGCCAUCAUUUAAAGAAAGCGUAAUAGCUCACUGGUCGAGUCGGCCUGCGCGGAAGAUGUAACGGGGCUAAACCAUGCACCGAAGCUGCGGCAGCGACGCUUAUGCGUUGUUGGGUAGGGGAGCGUUCUGUAAGCCUGUGAAGGUGUGUCGUGAGGCAUGCUGGAGGUAUCAGAAGUGCGAAUGCUGACAUAAGUAACGAUAAAGCGGGUGAAAAGCCCGCUCGCCGGAAGACCAAGGGUUCCUGUCCAACGUUAAUCGGGGCAGGGUGAGUCGACCCCUAAGGCGAGGCCGAAAGGCGUAGUCGAUGGGAAACGGGUUAAUAUUCCCGUACUUGGUGUUACUGCGAAGGGGGGACGGAGAAGGCUAUGUUGGCCGGGCGACGGUUGUCCCGGUUUAAGCGUGUAGGUGUGUGUUCCAGGUAAAUCCGGUUCACUUUAACACUGAGGCGUGAUGACGAGGCACUACGGUGCUGAAGUAACAAAUGCCCUGCUUCCAGGAAAAGCCUCUAAGCAUCAGGUAACAUCAAAUCGUACCCCAAACCGACACAGGUGGUCAGGUAGAGAAUACCAAGGCGCUUGAGAGAACUCGGGUGAAGGAACUAGGCAAAAUGGUGCCGUAACUUCGGGAGAAGGCACGCUGACACGUAGGUGAAGUGAUUUACUCAUGGAGCUGAAGUCAGUCGAAGAUACCAGCUGGCUGCAACUGUUUAUUAAAAACACAGCACUGUGCAAACACGAAAGUGGACGUAUACGGUGUGACGCCUGCCCGGUGCCGGAAGGUUAAUUGAUGGGGUCAGCGCAAGCGAAGCUCCUGAUCGAAGCCCCGGUAAACGGCGGCCGUAACUAUAACGGUCCUAAGGUAGCGAAAUUCCUUGUCGGGUAAGUUCCGACCUGCACGAAUGGCGUAAUGAUGGCCAGGCUGUCUCCACCCGAGACUCAGUGAAAUUGAACUCGCUGUGAAGAUGCAGUGUACCCGCGGCAAGACGGAAAGACCCCGUGAACCUUUACUAUAGCUUGACACUGAACAUUGAGCCUUGAUGUGUAGGAUAGGUGGGAGGCUUU